CCAAUAGCGUAUAUUAAAGUUGUUGCAGUUAAAAAGCUCGUAGUUGAAUUUCGGGACCAUCAUGUCGGUCGUGCCUCGGUACGUACUGGUAUUGUUGGUUUCUCCCUUCUGACGAACCAUGAUGUCAUUUAUUUGGUGUUGUGGGGAAUCAGGACUGUUACUUUGAAAAAAUUAGAGUGUUUAAAGCAGGCUCACGCUUGAAUACAUUAGCAUGGAAUAAUGAAAUAGGACGUUUGAUUCUAUUUUGUUGGUUUCUAGGAUCGACGUAAUGAUUAAUAGGGAUAGUUGGGGGCAUUAGUAUUCAAUUGUCAGAGGUGAAAUUCUUGGAUUUAUUGAAGACUAACUACUGCGAAAGCAUUUGCCAAGGAUGUUUUCAUUAAUCAAGAACGAAAGUUAGGGGAUCGAAGACGAUCAGAUACCGUCGUAGUCUUAACCAUAAACUAUGCCGACUAGGGAUCGGAUGAUGUUAAUUUUUUAAUGACUCAUUCGGCGCCUUACG
rnacentral:misc_RNA from 1 species